rnacentral:rRNA from 1 species
UACAGAGGUCUCAAGCGUUGUUCGGAUUCAUUGGGCGUAAAGGGUGCGUAGGCGGCGCGGUAAGUCGGGUGUGAAAUUUCGGAGCUUAACUCCGAAACUGCAUUCGAUACUGCGGUGCUUGAGGACUGGAGAGGAGACUGGAAUUCAUGGUGUAGCAGUGAAAUGCGUAGAGAUCAUGAGGAAGACCAGUGGCGAAGGCGGGUCUCUGGACAGUUCCUGACGCUGAGACACGAAGGCCAGGGGAGCAAACGGG